AACGGCCGUACCAUGCUGAAUAUACCGGUUCUCGUUAGAUCACCGAAGUCAAGCAUCAUUGGGCGCGGUCAGUACUUGGAUGGGUGACCACCUGGGAACACCGCGUGCCGUU
rnacentral:rRNA from 1 species